GUCGGUCACACUUCAUGUCCGCUCUCUAAUUCAAAUAGUUUUCAUCCGAUCUUUACCAAACUUGGUCAGAAGUUGUAUCCAGACAAUAUCUAGGUCAAGUUCGAAUAUGGGUCAUGCCGGGUCAAAAACUAGGUCACUGGGUCACUUAGUGCAUUUCAAGGAUUUAGCAUGGUGUCCGCUCUCUAAUUGAAGUAGUUUUCAUCUGAUCUUAACUACACUUGGUAAGAAGUUGUAUUAAGACAAUAUCUAGGUCAAGUUUGAAUAUGGGUCAUGCCUGGUCAAAAACUAGGUCACGGGGUCACUUAGUGCAUUUCGAGGAUUAAGCAUGUUGUUUGCUCUCUAGUUUAUGUGGCUUUCUGAUUUAUUUUGAUAUUCUAAGACAUUUUUAUGCCCUUGAAGGAGGGCAUAUAGUGAUCGGACUGUCCGUUCGUCUGUCCGUCCGUCUGUCCGUCAGCCUUUGCGUUAAGAUUUCGAAAAAUGCUCAUAACUUCUAUGUCGCUUCAGAUAGCAAUUUCAUAUUUGGCAUGCUUGUGUAUAUGGACAAGGCCUUUCCAUACGCACACAAAUUUUGACCCCUGUGACCUUGACCUUGAACUUAGGGUCCGCGUUUAGGUUCGAAAUCUGCGU